rnacentral:rRNA from 1 species
GAUGAACGCUGGCGGCGUGCCUAAUACAUGCAAGUCGAGCGAACAGACGAGGCGCUUGCUCCUCUGACGUUAGCGGCGGACGGGUGAGUCACACGUGGAUAACCUACCUAUAAGACUGGGAUAACUUCGGGAAACCGGAGCUAAUACCGGAUAAUAUAUUGAACCGCAUGGUUCAAUAGUGAAAGACGGUUUUGCUGUCCCUUAUAGAUGGAUCCGCGCCGCAUUAGCUAGUUGGUAAGGUAACGGCUUACCAAGGCAACGAUGCGUAGCCGACCUGAGAGGGUGAUCGGCCACACUGGAACUGAGACACGGUCCAGACUCCUACGGGAGGCAGCAGUAGGGAAUCUUCCGCAAUGGGCGAAAGCCUGACGGAGCAACGCCGCGUGAGUGAUGAAGGUCUUCGGAUCGUAAAACUCUGUUAUUAGGGAAGAACAAAUGUGUAAGUAACUAUGCACGUCUUGACGGUACUUAAUCAGAAAGCCACGGCUAACUACGUG